UAGUAACGGCGAGUGAAGCGGCAACAGCUCAAAUUUGAAAUCUGGCUUCGGCCCGAGUUGUAAUUUGCAGAGGAAGCUUUAGGCGCGGCACCUUCUGAGUCCCCUGGAACGGGGCGCCAUAGAGGGUGAGAGCCCCGUAUAGUUGGAUGCCUAGCCUGUGUAAAGCUCCUUCGACGAGUCGAGUAGUUUGGGAAUGCUGCUCAAAAUGGGAGGUAAAUUUCUUCUAAAGCUAAAUACCGGCCAGAGACCGAUAGCGCACAAGUAGAGUGAUCGAAAGAUGAAAAGCACUUUGAAAAGAGGGUUAAAUAGCACGUGAAAUUGUUGAAAGGGAAGCGCUUGUGACCAGACUUGCGCCGGGCGGAUCAUCCGGUGUUCUCACCGGUGCACUCCGCCCGGCUCAGGCCAGCAUCGGUUCUCGCGGGGGGAUAAAGGUCCUGGGAACGUAGCUCCUCCGGGAGUGUUAUAGCCCGGGGCGUAAUGCCCUCGCGGGGACCGAGGUUCGCGCAUCUGCAAGGAUGCUGGCGUAAUGGUCAUCAGCGACCCGUCUUGAAACACGGACCAAGGAGUCAAGGUUUUGCGCGAGUGUUUGGGUGUAAAACCCGCACGCGUAAUGAAAGUGAACGUAGGUGAGAGCUUCGGCGCAUCAUCGACCGAUCCUGAUGUUUUCGGAUGGAUUUGAGUAGGAGCGUUAAGCCUUGGACCCGAAAGAUGGUGAACUAUGCUUGGAUAGGGUGAAGCCAGAGGAAACUCUGGUGGAGGCUCGCAGCGGUUCUGACGUGCAAAUCGAUCGUCAAAUCU
rnacentral:rRNA from 1 species